ACUCCUACGGGAGGCAGCAGUGGGAAUAUUGGACAAUGGGGAACCGUAGCAUCCAGCCAUGCCGCGUGUGUGAAGAAGGCCUUCGGGUUGUAAAAGCACUUUCAGUGGGGAGGAAAGGAUUGAUGGUUAAUACCUAUCAGCUGUGACGUUACCCACAGAAGAAGCACCGGCUAACUCCGUGCCAGCAGCCGCGGUAAUACGGAGGGUGCAAGCGUUAAUCGGAAUUACUGGGCGUAAAGCGCAUGCAGGCGGCCUGUUAAGUCAGAUGUGAAAGCCCGGGGCUUAACCUCGGAAUUGCAUUUGAAACUGGCAGGCUAGAGUCUUGUAGAGGGGGUA
rnacentral:rRNA from 1 species